UACGGAGGGGACUAGCGUUGUUCGGAAUUACUGGGCGUAAAGCGCACGUAGGCGGAUUUGUAAGUCAGGGGUGAAAUCCCGAGGCUCAACCUCGGAACUGCCUUUGAUACUGCAAAUCUCGAGUCCGGAAGAGGUGAGUGGAAUUCCUAGUGUAGAGGUGAAAUUCGUAGAUAUUAGGAAGAACACCAGUGGCGAAGGCGGCUCACUGGUCCGGUACUGACGCUGAGGUGCGAAAGCGUGGGGAGCGAACAGG
rnacentral:rRNA from 1 species